UACGAAGGGGGCUAGCGUUGUUCGGAAUCACUGGGCGUAAAGCGCACGUAGGCGGAUUUUUAAGUCAGGGGUGAAAUCCCGGGGCUCAACCUCGGAACUGCCUUUGAUACUGAUAGUCUCGAGUCCGGAAGAGGUGAGUGGAAUUCCGAGUGUAGAGGUGAAAUUCGUAGAUAUUCGGAGGAACACCAGUGGCGAAGGCGGCUCACUGGUCCGGUACUGACGCUGAGGUGCGAAAGCGUGGGGAGCAAACAGGG
rnacentral:rRNA from 1 species